rnacentral:rRNA from 1 species
GACGAACGCUGGCGGCGUGCUUAACACAUGCAAGUCGAGCGGAAAGGCCCGUUCGUUGGUACACGAGCGGCGAACGGGUGAGUAACACGUGGGUGAGCUGCCCCCACCUCUGGGACAAGCCUGGGAAAGUGGGUCUAAUACCGGAUAUGACCUUUCUUCUCAUGGGGUUUGGUGGAUAGUUUUUUAGGCUGUGGAUGGGCCGGCUACCUAUUAGCUCGUGGGUUUGGUGAUGGCGUACCAAGGCGACGUCCGGUAGCCGGCGUGGGUGGGCGACCGGCCAAACCGUGAGUGAGGCACGGGCCAGACUCCUACGGCAGGCGGCGGUAGGGUAUCUUACGCAAUGGGCGGGAGCCUGACGCAGCGACGGCGCGUGAGGAAUGACGGCCUGCGGGUAACAAACCUCUUUCGAACCCGACGAAUUUGGACGGUAGGGGUAGAAGAAGCACCGGCUAACUACGUG